GGCCUGAUAGUUCAGUGGUAGAAUUCUUGCUUUGGGUAGACGAAUGUAAGAGGUCUCCGGUUCGAUCCCGGAUUAGGCCC
rnacentral:tRNA from 2 species